rnacentral:rRNA from 1 species
UACGUAGGGUGCGAGCGUUGUCCGGAAUUAUUGGGCGUAAAGAGCUUGUAGGCGGUUUGUCGCGUCUGCUGUGAAAAUCCGGGGCUCAACCCCGAACUUGCAGUGGGUACGGGCAGACUAGAGUGUGGUAGGGGAGACUGGAAUUCCUGGUGUAGCGGUGAAAUGCGCAGAUAUCAGGAGGAACACCGAUGGCGAAGGCAGUUCUCUGGGCCGUAACUGACGCUGAGGAGCGAAAGUGUGGGGGAGCGAACAGG